rnacentral:lncRNA from 1 species
AAACUGUUGAAGAUGAUUUGAAAUAAUAAUUAAGUGACUGUUCUAAAGCAUUACACUGUCAAAUACAGCUUUUAGAAUAGCGAGGCUUGUUCAAAGGGGCAGAAUUGAGGCGUGAUUGUGGGUUCUAACACAGAAAGGCUGGUAAGAAAUGAGUGUAUUUAGUAUAUUGCUUCUGUUAGUGGCCAAGAACCUAUUGGGAAUCACUAAGUAAUCAUCACUUUGAGGUUUAACCAAGCCUGGUUUAAAAAGUACACUUACAAAAUCUUUAGUGACUUUAAAUGGCUUUCAGAGCCCUUGAAAUUCUCCAUUCAAGGGAGGUCAGACAAUUAUAUUAUUAAUUCUUUUUUUCUGUAGAUUUUUAUUCUUAAAAGUUGCUUUCAACAGAAUAAUUUAAUUCAUUGAUUCUUUUUAUAUCUCAAGUGUACAUAUUUGGAAGAUAAAUUUUAUGAGAAUAUUAUCUAUAAGGCCUCUAUUACCCUAACAUCAUGGAAAAGUAACCUUGACUUGAAUUAAAUUAAAAGAAUAUGCUUUCAUUCUUAAAUCUCUAUUUUUCUAAGGGGGAAAAAAGGUUCUCUAAAUCUCAAUCAUUUUUAUAUGUUUGCCUUUUACUGAAGUGUAUGAUCUAUUAUUUGAUUUUGCAGUUAUUGUCUAGUAAUACACACUAAGGUGCCAUAUCUUAUGAUUUUCACUGGCAAGACAAAUAUAAACAAGCAAGAUAAAUAGCCUGAUGACCCCAUGGAUCAGAACUUUGGAUCUUAAUGUUUACUCAUGAUCUUUCACAGGCUUCUAUUCAUGUAUGUGCCACGAAUACCAAGUUUACCUACUUGGAAUCUCUGAAUAAAGCAUAUCGACUUAGAGAAAAGAAGUGAGAGUAAACAUACUAGAUCAUCUCCCUGCAAAUCCGUUGGCAUCAUCCACACAAACAUACGCCGGGGUGUUAUUUAAUUAACCAUGGAGCUAUGAACAUUGUGAAAUUCAAGUGUACAUAUGUUUUCAAACAACAUAUUUUAAAUAAAAUUAUUUGCAACCAGA